AGAGACAGCAGUCGCCGCGGGAAUACGUAGGGCGCAAGCGUUAUCCGGAAUUAUUGGGCGUAAAGAGCUCGUAGGCGGUUUGUCGCGUCUGCCGUGAAAGUCCGGGGCUCAACCCCGGAUCUGCGGUGGGUACGGGCAGACUAGAGUGAUGUAGGGGAGACUGGAAUUCCUGGUGUAGCGGUGAAAUGCGCAGAUAUCAGGAGGAACACCGAUGGCGAAGGCAGGUCUCUGGGCAUUAACUGACGCUGAGGAGCGAAAGCAUGGGGAGCGAACAGGAUUAGAUACCCCCGUAGUCCCUGUCUCUUAUAU
rnacentral:rRNA from 1 species